rnacentral:rRNA from 1 species
AUGAACGCUGGCGGCGUGCCUAAUACAUGCAAGUCGAGCGAACAGACGAGGAGCUUGCUCCUCUGACGUUAGCGGCGGACGGGUGAGUAACACGUGGAUAACCUACCUAUAAGACUGGGAUAACUUCGGGAAACCGGAGCUAAUACCGGAUAAUAUAUUGAACCGCAUGGUUCAAUAGUGAAAGACGGUUUUGCUGUCACUUAUAGAUGGAUCCGCGCCGCAUUAGCUAGUUGGUAAGGUAACGGCUUACCAAGGCGACGAUGCGUAGCCGACCUGAGAGGGUGAUCGGCCACACUGGUACUGAGACACGGUCCAGACUCCUACGGGAGGCAGCAGUAGGGAAUCUUCCGCAAUGGGCGAAAGCCUGACGGAGCAACGCCGCGUGAGUGAUGAAGGUCUUCGGAUCGUAAAACUCUGUUAUUAGGGAAGAACAAAUGUGUAAGUAACUAUGCACGUCUUGACGGUACCUAAUCAGAAAGCCACGGCUAACUACGUG